rnacentral:rRNA from 1 species
ACUCGAGUGGCGAACGGGUGAGUAACACGUGGGUGAUCUGCCUUGCACUUCGGGAUAAGCUUGGGAAACUGGGUCUAAUACCGGAUAGGACAGCUGUUUAGUGUCAGUUGUGGAAAGUUUUUUCGGUGCAAGAUGAGCUCGCGGCCUAUCAGCUUGUUGGUGGGGUAAUGGCCUACCAAGGCGUCGACGGGUAGCCGGCCUGAGAGGGUGUACGGCCACAUUGGGACUGAGAUACGGCCCAGACUCCUACGGGAGGCAGCAGUGGGGAAUAUUGCACAAUGGGCGGAAGCCUGAUGCAGCGACGCCGCGUGGGGGAUGAAGGCCUUCGGGUUGUAAACUCCUUUCGACAGGGACGAAGCGUAAGUGACGGUACCUGUAUAAGAAGCACCGGCUAACUACGUGCCAGCAGCCGCGGUAAUACGUAGGGUGCGAGCGUUGUCCGGAAUUACUGGGCGUAAAGAGCUCGUAGGUGGUUUGUCGCGUCGUCUGUGAAAUUCCGGGGCUUAACUCCGGGCGUGCAGGCGAUACGGGCUGACUUGAGUGCUGUAGGGGAGACUGGAAUUCCUGGUGUAGCGGUGAAAUGCGCAGAUAUCAGGAGGAACACCGAUGGCGAAGGCAGGUCUCUGGGCAGUAACUGACGCUGAGGAGCGAAAGCAUGGGUAGCGAACAGGAUUAGAUACCCUGGUAGUCCAUGCCGUAAACGGUGGGCGCUAGGUGUAGGGGGCUUCCACGUCUUCUGUGCCGUAGCUAACGCAUUAAGCGCCCCGCCUGGGGAGUACGCCGCAAGGCUA